rnacentral:rRNA from 1 species
AUUCCAGCUCCAAUAGCGUAUAUUAAAGUUGUUGCAGUUAAAAAGCUCGUAGUUGAACUUCAGCCCUGGCCGGGCGGUCUGCCUCACGGUAUGUACUGUCUGGCUGGGGCUUACCUUCUGGUGAGCUUGCAUGCCGUUUAUUCGGUGUGUGAGGGAAUCAGGACUUUUACUUUGAGAAAAUUAGAGUGUUCAAAGCAGGCAAAUGCCCGAAUACAUUAGCAUGGAAUAAUGGAAUAGGACGUGCGGUUCUAUUUUGUUGGUUUCUAGAGUCGCCGUAAUGAUUAAUAGGGACAGUUGGGGGCAUUAGUAUUGAGUUGCUAGAGGUGAAAUUCUUGGAUUUACUCAAGACUAACUACUGCGAAAGCAUUUGCCAAGGAUGUUUUCAUCA